ACCAGGCAUGAUAGCAUGCAUCUAUAGUCCCAGCUAUUCAGGAGGCUGAAGUGGGAGGAUCGCUUGAGUCCAGGAGUUCUUGGCUGUAGUGCAUGAUGCCAAUUGAGUGUCUGCACUAAGUUCAGCAUCAAUGUAGUGACCUCCCAGAAGCAGGAGACAACCAGGUUGCCUAAGGAGGGGUGAAGUGGCAGAGGUUGGAAACAGAGCAGUGCAAAACUCCCACACUGAUCGGUAUUGGCAUCACACCUGUGAAGAGCGACUGCCUUGCAGCCUGGACAACAUACUGAAACCUGCCUC
rnacentral:SRP_RNA from 10 species